AUUGCUUCUCGGCCUUUUGGCUAAGAUCAAGUGUAGGAGGGCUGGGCCAGAGACCUAUGUAGUCAUUAGAAUUAACACUUUAAUUUGGCUGAUUCAUUUUGAAAUGAGGACAGGCUUUGCCAGUUUCUAUGAGGACUUUUUCUAUAAAUUUAAUCAGCUAAGCCUACAGCUCCAAGGCUUUGAUACAAGUAUCUUUA